rfam:Paenibacillus polymyxa SC2, complete genome.
AUCUUAUCAAGAGCAGGUGGAGGGACUAGCCCGAUGAUACCCGGCAACCGGCGAUUUUUAUCGCACGGUGCUAAUUCUUGCAGGACUCGCGCUUUGUACAAAAAAGCGUAGCCCUGACAGAUGAGAG